rnacentral:rRNA from 1 species
GAUGAACGCUGGCGGCGUGCCUAAUACAUGCAAGUCGAGCGAACAGACGAGGAGCUUGCUCCUCUGACGUUAGCGGCGGACGGGUGAGUAACACGUGGAUAACCUACCUAUAAGACUGGGAUAACUUCGGGAAACCGGAGCUAAUACCGGAUAAUAUAUUGAACCGCAUGGUUCAAUAGUGAAAGACGGUUUUGCUGUCACUUAUAGAUGGAUCCGCGCCGCAUUAGCUAGUUGGUAAGGUAACGGCUUACCAAGGCAACGAUGCGUAGCCGACCUGAGAGGGUGAUCGGCCACACUGGAACUGAGACACGGUCCAGACUCCUACGGGAGGCAGCAGUAGGGAAUCUUCCGCAAUGGGCGAAAGCUUGACGGAGCAACGCCGCGGGAGUGAUGAAGGACUUCGGAUCGUAAAACUCUGUUAUUAGGGAAGAACAAAUGUGUAAGUAACGAUGCACGUCUUGACGGUACCUAAUCAGAAAGCCACGGCUAACUACGUGC